rnacentral:rRNA from 1 species
CCUACGGGAGGCAGCAGUGAGGAAUAUUGGUCAAUGGCCGAGAGGCUGAACCAGCCAAGUCGCGUGAGGGAAGACGGCCCUACGGGUUGUAAACCUCUUUUGUCGGGGAGCAAAGCGAGUCACGUGUGACUCAUUGAGAGUACCCGUAGAAAAAGCAUCGGCUAACUCCGUGCCAGCAGCCGCGGUAAUACGGAGGAUGCGAGCGUUAUCCGGAUUUAUUGGGUUUAAAGGGUGCGCAGGCGGAGGUGCAAGUCAGCGGUCAAAUUGCGGGGCUCAACCCCGUACUGCCGUUGAAACUGCAGCCCUUGAGUGCGCGAGAAGUAUGCGGAAUGCGUGGUGUAGCGGUGAAAUGCAUAGAUAUCACGCAGAACUCCGAUUGCGAAGGCAGCAUACCGGCGCGCAACUGACGCUCAUGCACGAAAGCGUGGGUAUCGAACAGGAUUAGAUACCCCAGUAGUC